rnacentral:rRNA from 1 species
UACGGGGGGGGCAAGCGUUGUUCGGAAUUACUGGGCGCAAAGGGUUCGUAGGUGGCCAACUAAGUCAGACGUGAAAUCCCUCAGCUUAACUGGGGAACUGCGUCUGAUACUGGUUGGCUUGAGUGCAGGAGAGGAACGCGGAAUUCCAGGUGUAGCGGUGAAAUGCGUAGAUAUCUGGAGGAACACCGGUGGCGAAGGCGGCGUUCUGGACUGCAACUGACACUGAGGAACGAAAGCCAGGGGAGCAAACGGG